rnacentral:lncRNA from 1 species
UUUGGUCUGUUUUUCUCAUACUUUAUGCAAUAGGUCUACUAUAUUUGUUGUAUGGAAUGAUUGUAAGGUGUACAUGUCUAGCGGGCAGAUGUCAUCUGACCUUGACCUCAUUUUCAUGGUUCAGUGGUCAAAGUUAAGUUUUUAAGUUUUGGUCUUUUUAUCUAAUAUUAUAUGCCAAAGGUCAACUAUAUUUGGUGUAUGGAAAUAUAUUAUGAUCUAUAUGUCAGUCCCGCAGGUUUUAUUUGACCAUGACCUCAAUUGCACGG